GCAGAUUGUCUAGUUCGU
rnacentral:snRNA from 1 species